AGGCAAUGUCAAACAGUAUUCAAUCUUGUUUUGCAACCAGUUUAAUGUUCUGUGCAUUGUGGGGGCUGGAGACUGAGUUGCAUUUUAAAAAGAAGCACAUAAGAUACUCUGCUUCCCAUCAAGGAAUGUAAUGAGUAGGUUUCACCUAUGCUCUCCAGCCCCAAAUGAUUGAACCUGCAAUAGUGCCAAAAAAUUGGAAAUGUCUUAACAUGCAUUAAUUGCUUAAUGGUUGUGCUGUCUACUUGAAAAGGGCGGGGUGGUAUUUAAGUUGCCUAAUGACUUUACAUUUUCCCAUGGCAAAAUACUUGUGAUUUGGUUAUGCUAUAAUUAAAGAGUUACAUAAACAAGGUCUUUGGAAACCAAUGAACUGUCUUCCUUGGGAGAGAGAUUUUGGUCAGCUCCAGCUGGUAUGUUUGGGCCCUUCUGAAGGUGACUACCAUGCAGCCAAACCUCCCUCUCCCUCGCAGAAGUCCACCCUGUUUGCAUCCCUGCAGUGUGCUCUGCUGAGUGCAGGUUAUGGUGUAAGGGAGGCAAUAGAGGGAAGGUUUUUAAAAUAAACAUUUUUAAGAAAUAAUUUCAAAACAAGUUGAAAUAUAAGAAAUAGGAGAAGCAGGAUAAAUGUAGAAGAGCCUAGCUACCUUGAAGCCAGAUGGCCUAGCGAUGAGAAACCCUGAGGGCAGAGUAGGAGGUGUCUUGUAAAAGCAGUUGAUCAAAUGUUUAUUGCUAUAGAAGGAAGAGCCUUUGAACUCAUGUGGUUUGCUCACUUGUACCCCAGAAACGAUGUCCUCCAGGAGCACAGAUGUUAAAUUUCUUACCCAGAGGUCUCAGUGAUGGCAGAUAUCUCUCUUGGCAGAUAUCAAGGGAGACCCUGAGCCAGGGAGAUGGUAUUCAACCUCCUGAAGAAAGUGCAACAGUCAGGAAAACUUAUAAUGCAACCCAGGGUGACAACAUGAAGAGAGAGAGCCUGAUGACCUUGCCUUGGAUACUGUGGUGGACUGAUGGCACUUCUGGUCCUAUUCAUGACUUCCCUGCAGCCAGAUUCUUUGCAUUAAGACUCUGAAACUCUCCAACAAAAGGUUGGGUCUACUCUCUCUCCACCUGAAUUGGAACUGCCUGGUGACUUAUUUCUGUCAACAGAAUGUGGCCAAGCAAGGCCUUCCACACUUCCCUCCUCUCUCAGAAACUUCAGCAGCCUCCAUGUAGGCCAGCCCAGGCUAGCCUUUUGGAGGGUGAGAGGCACUUGGAGAAGAUUUCAGUAAUCUUAGCCAAAGCCAACAUGGACCAGCCUCGAGUCAGCCAGCCCCUAAACUUCUGGGAGAGCCCAGCGAAGAUCAGCAGGCUGUUUCCCAAACCCUAGCUGACCACAUAUGCAAGAACAAGCUUAUUCAAGGCCAGCAGAACCAUCUGCUGGCAUGUUGUGAUAUUGUGAUUAAUAGUAAGAAAUACAUACUUUGUCUUCAUCUCAGCUUCUGGCACAGAGUUCCUAAAACCACUGGAAUUUGAAAAUUAAAUGAUGAGAAUAAAAAAGGUAUCUUUUGUUACUUUAAUGAGGUA
rnacentral:lncRNA from 12 species